GUAGGUGGCAAGCGUUGUCCGGAAUUAUUGGGCGUAAAGCGCGCGCAGGCGGUCCUUUAAGUCUGAUGUGAAACGCCCACGGCUCAACCGUGGAGGGUCAUUGGAAACUGGGGGACUUGAGUACAGAAGAGGAAAGCGGAAUUCCAAGUGUAGCGGUGAAAUGCGUAGAGAUUUGGAGGAACACCAGUGGCGAAGGCGGCUUUCUGGUCUGUAACUGACGCUGAGGCGCGAAAGCGUGGGGAGCAAACAGGAUUAGAUACCCUGGUAGUCCACGCCGUAAACGAUGAGUGCUAAGUGUUAGGGGGUUUCCCGCCCCCUUAGUGCUGCAGCUAACGCAUUAAGCACUCCGCCUGGGGAGUACGGCCGCAAGGCUG
rnacentral:rRNA from 1 species